rnacentral:rRNA from 1 species
UCGGCCCAGAUCCGGAACGAGGUGAGACCUCGAAUUCCAGCGGACGACGCGGAACCGUCUCCCCCUCGUCUCUCUCUCGCAACCCCAUCCCCUCUCGCCCUCUCCUCUCUGGUGCGCCGCCUCCCCUCGUCCCUCUCCUCCCUCGAUUCGCGCCACCGGCAGUUCCUCUCCCCCAUCUGCACCGGUGAGUGUCCUUCCCCCACCCCACCCUCUUCCUCGUCUUCUCCUCAAUCAGCUGCGGGGCGGCGGACGAGCGGCUGCGAGGCGACGGUCUUGAAGCUGGGCGGCGAGCCAGCGCUACUUCGGCGCGAGGAUUGGAAGCCAGCCAACGGCAGCCACACCUGAGCGGCGGCAGCAUCAGCUUGCCUGGGCAGCGGCAGCGGCCAGAGAGGAAAGGAGCAGAUGGCGUUCAGUAUUGAUGGAUGCGUUCAGUAUCUUUGCUUGAACUGAACGCAAAAUUAACUAAGAUGCGUUCAUGCCAAACUCAACAUGUUCCUGAUGCUUGCAGUGAGAUUUUUUUUUGUUCAUGCCUGUAGAUUUUUGCCGGAUGCGUUCAUGCUAAACUCAAGAUGGCAAACUCUUCAUGUGAAUAGAAAACAGUGAGAAUUUUUUUUCCUGUAUGAACCGUAGAUCCUUUUGAGAUUAUAUCAAUUGAUGGUGCUGCAAAAGUGCAAAUACAAAUGAAAUGGCCGCUGAAAAUUUGAAUAAUUUGAUGCUAAAAAUGUGUGCAUGUUUGUCAAUGCUUUUCCUCCUUGAUUGAGUCAAUUUUGUCUUUUGACCAAUUUUUUACAUGUACUUGACAGAAAUUGAUAAAAUGUAAAGAGAUAUAAUUGUGACCAUGUAUAUACGUAUGUGAAACUCCCACCAUUUCUAUGCAAAGAUUUGAGAUAAACCAAAUGCAUUCUGUGGAAAAACUCAUUUCGUGCUAUCCCAACCAAACGCUGAGAUGGAACCAUUCCGUUCCUCCUAAUUCCCUUCAUCAAACACCGGAACAGAACCAACCCGUUUCGGUGGAAUGGAACCAUGACAUUACAUUCUACUUCGUUUCCGAACCAAACACACCCUAAGUUCUUCGUGCCUUACCUUAGGUGUCUCAUUGUUGCUAGCAUGAUGUGUUUAGUUCCAUUUCUAUGACUAUAUUUACCAUUGAUUUUAUCUUAUAAGCAUGCAUUGGCAAUUUGUGUC